GAUGAACGCUGGCGGCGUGCCUAAUACAUGCAAGUCGAGCGAACAGACGAGGAGCUUGCUCCUCUGACGUUAGCGGCGGACGGGUGAGUAACACGUGGAUAACCUACCUAUAAGACUGGGAUAACUUCGGGAAACCGGAGCUAAUACCGGAUAAUAUAUUGAACCGCAUGGUUCAAUAGUGAAAGACGGUUUUGCUGUCACUUAUAGAUGGAUCCGCGCCGCAUUAGCUAGUUGGUAAGGUAACGGCUUACCAAGGCAACGAUGCGUAGCCGACCUGAGAGGGUGAACGGCCACACUGGAAAUGAGACACGGUCCAGACUCCGACGGGGGGCAGCAGUAGGGAAUCUUCCGACAUGGGCGAAAGCCUGACGGAGCAACGCCGCGUGAGUGAGGAAGGUCUUCGGAUCGUAAAACUCUGUUAUUAGGGAAGAACAAAUGUGUAAGUAACUAUGCACGUCUUGACGGUACCUAAUCAGAAAGCCACGGCUAACUACG
rnacentral:rRNA from 1 species